rnacentral:rRNA from 1 species
UACGUAGGGGGCAAGCGUUGUCCGGAAUCAUUGGGCGUAAAGAGCGUGUAGGCGGCCAGAUAAGUCCGCUGUGAAAUCCCUCGGCUCAACCGAGGAACUGCGUCUGAUACUGGAAGGCUUGAAUCCGGGAGAGGGAUGUGGAAUUCCAGGUGUAGCGGUGAAAUGCGUAGAUAUCUGGAGGAACACCGGUGGCGAAGGCGGCAUCCUGGACCGGUAUUGACGCUGAGGCGCGAAAGCUAGGGGAGCAAACGGG